GAAAGGGGGAAAUGCUCCCGCGGGAGUAGAGUUUUAACCGUAGCCAUUUAGAGGGACUGGUUUACGGGUUUAACGCAGAUGUUUUGAAGCAGGAAGCAGAGAAGAAGCGGGUGGGUAAGUAGGCAAGGCAGUGCAACAAUGGCGUGGUGUAUUGGGUCAUCCUCCUCUCCCUUGGCGCCCAUCAUCGAGUUGAAGAAGGCAUUGUCGCGCAGCACCAAGGCCAUGGGCACGGGCUCCUCGCAGGUUGCCGCUGCAGCGGGCCUCUCUCUUGCUGUCGGAGGCUCCACUCUGCUUCUUCUUCAUCGGACCACAAGAAGGAAACAACUCACGCCACAUUUGUUUGCCUCCUCCACCAUGAGCAUCUCAGACACUGCUCGUAAAAUUGAGGUUAUUCAAGCAGACAAGGCCCCAAAAGCAGCUGGACCAUAUUCUCUGGGAAUCAAAUCUAAUAACCUCCUUUUCAUGUCUGGGCAAGUGGGCUUUGUUCCUGAGACAGGGAAACUCAUCUCCGAUAGCAUAGAGGAGCAGACAGAGCAGACUCUAAAGAAUAUUGGAGAAGUUUUGAAAGCUAGUGGUGCCAGUUAUUCUUCAGUUGUGAAGGCAACAGUCUUGCUUGCUGACAUCAAGGACUUCAACACAGUCAACAAGAUUUACGCAAAAUGUGAUGAUAAACUAGCGUUUCAGAGGAAACACCAGGGCGUGGUUUACGAAAUGUACAACGAAAAAAUUUCUAGUUGUGUGGAAGGGGCAGAAAUAAUGAGUAAUAGGUCUUAUUGGUAGUCUCCAGUUGUGACAUCCCUUUCCCUUCUAUUUUGGUGUACUUUCCCUUUUCCCAAAGGGGGGAAGGAAAGGGUAGUCUACUAUUUUUCAGCAUCUUGUGGGACAUUGAUCGGAGAUUUCUUGGCACCGUAUCCAGCACGCACAUGCUAUCAGGCUGCAGCCCUUCCGGUGGGUGCAAAGGUUGAAAUUGAAUGCAUUGCAGCUCUAUAGCUUUAUAGAAAGGUGGGCCCCCGCCUCCCCUCUUACAUUUAUUUAGCAUAGAUACUGUCUCCCUUGUUAAUUGGCAAAAGACAGAGUGAGGUGUAGUGGGUAGAAUGUCUUGAGACUUUUAAUGUUGUGCUAUUGGAGUUAGUGGUAGGUACAUUGUUACUGCUAAAUAAAGCAAUGAAAGAAUGCUGACGUUGAAAUACUGCUAAGGAAUAUGGCAAAUGUGGAUUAGUGC